CCCCAAUGUUUGGUUGGGAUGAUGUAGCGUACGAAGUCCCUCCAGAGGAUUCAAUUUACGCAAACGCGAAACUCAUGGCACUUGUUGCCGGAAACUACACCUUAGGACCGAUGUACCUUAAAUGUACCCUUGUCGACCGUGGCUGAUGACACCAUUCUCGAGUCCCUCUACCCCUGCACAGGAACGAUACAACAACGCCCUAACGCACACAAGGUGCAUAAUAGAGCGGAAUAUGGGGCAGCUCUAGCGCAGUGAGCUGCGUGUGGAACCUGCGAGGGCCUGCAGAAUCAUCGUUGCGUGUGUUCUCUUCAGUUGAUCAAAGAACAAUCCUGCCACUGAUGAAGAGCAUGCGUUGGCGAUAGAACAGCACGGACGCGAAGAACAGCAGCAAGGCGAUAGGCAAGGACAUGCAGUUACGAAUGCAAUCGUUAACGUUUUUAA